GACGAACGCUGGCGGCGUGCUUAACACAUGCAAGUCGAGCGGAGCGGCGAACGGGUGAGUAACGCGUGAGUAACUGCCCCCCUCUCUGGGAUAACAGUUGGAAACGGCUGCUAAUACCGGAUAGUGGGGGAUGACUCGCGUCCUAUCAGCUUGUUGGUGGGGUAGUGGCCUACCAAGGGGACGACGGGUAGCCGGCCUGGGAGGGCGACCGGCCACAUGGGGUUGAGAGUCGGCCCAAACUCCAACGGGAGGCAGCAGUGGGGAAUAUUGCACAAUGGGGGACACCCUGAUGAAGCAUGGCGCGUGCGUGAUGACGGCUUUCUGGUUGUAAACCGCUUUGUGCCAUGACGCGGUAGUGGCAGAAGAAGCACCGGCUAACUACGUGCCAGCAGCCGCGGUAAUAC
rnacentral:rRNA from 1 species